AAAACAGAACACCAUGGAGCGUGCCAGAGCAAUAGCAAACAGCACAACCUCGGGCACCCCGGAUCAGGGCAUGUCAACAAAUCGUAAACGUAGCAGAGAAAUAUUCCGGCGCCUCCCACGCCAGGUGUCACUGUUCGGACUCGAUUCAUUUUUCAGGAUCGUACCUUCAACGUUUCAGUCAGUCAUGAAUGGAGAGGACAAAUCUUCAUAAAUCUGACGCGCCUAUCGAGACGUCUGACGAUGACUGAAGUGCUAAUUACUAGUUUUCUCCCCAGUACCGUACCGUGUUCUCGCCUCACUAUUCCGAUCCUGUUGGAUCAAGUAAAGCUUUUGAUGCCUCAAAGAUUCUGAUUCGUCAAGCUUAGGCAUGGAAAUUAAACGAACUGCAAGAGUGUUCAUUAAUAUCCUCAAACAGAUUUUAAAAUCAAAUGCAUUCACGACUCAUCGCGACUUUCACAGUGGAACAGAGCCCCCCAAGGUGAAUGCAAAAUUGGAGAUUGUUGGGAUUAGACGGUAUGGAAUUGGAUGCAAGCGACGUUGGGUUGACAUUAUGGUAUACAUUGGAGCUAACGAAAAGGUGUGAUGUUGAAGUAGCCCAUUCAGGUUCUUUCUGAGAAGCGUUACUGCUCCUUGACGGUUGAUCAAUUCAAAUCCUGCUUUGAAGAGAUGAAAGCCAAGUGGACAUCAGAGGAUGACAGCAGGCAAUCAUGAAUCUUGAAUUUUUACUGAGCACCAGAAGAAGAUACUGACAUAACUUUCCCUCUGGCUGGCAUUUCCACUGGGAGCUGACAUUGACGACCGCCCCAAAGGCGACUGAAGAAGUUCGGCAUGAGCCCCCAAACCCCCAAGAUCUUCUACAAGAGCACCAUGGAGAUCAUCCUGACUGGCUGUAUCACCGUCUGGUACAGGAACUACACCGACCUUGAUUGCUGGGCACUGCAGAGAGUGGUACGGACAGCCCAGCUCAUCCAUGGACGUGAACUUCCCUCCACUGAGGGCAUUUACAGCAGCAGGUGCAGAAAGAAAGCCUGGAAGAACAUCGGGGACACCAGUCACCCCAACUGUAAACUGUUUCAGCUGCUUUCGUCUGGGAAACAUUACCGCAGCAUUGAGACCAGGAUCAACAAGCUAUGGGCCAGCUUCUUUCUACAAGCCAUCAGACUUAUAAAUUCCCAUGUCUGUACAUUGCGACAGAUUCAUAAUGCUAAGGUUUUUACUCCCUUAUGUUGUGGAAUGGCUGUAUCCUUUAAAUUCUUUUUAUAUAUACAUAUAUACACACACAUACGUGCACACAUAUAUGUAUGUAUAUAUAGAUAGUGAUAUAUAUAUAGAUAUAGUUGGAUAAUAAAUUGACUUCAAUUUGAACAAGUUGGGGCCACCAGCAUCUAGAGUUACUAUAGCCAAUUACAAGAUCAUAGUUCCCAACCCAGCUGAGAUCUAUUAACUUCAGUACAAAGCCAAGAUCAAACCUAGAACGUUCUAUUCUCCACGCCCGAGGAAAACGAGACGAAUCAGAGUGACGAUAAUGACAGGCCAAAAGACGUAAUCUUUCUGCUGCGGGUCCCUAUUUGGCUUUGGUUUAACAAUUGUUUGGACACGGGACUGCGGCCACAUAAGAUAACCCCAUCAGAAGGUUAAUUCCUGUAGUACGUUACUGGCUAGUCGCCACUCAUUUCCACCGCUCAUAAGCAAUGUAGAUUAUCUAUAAAUGGGAAGAGAAGUAGAUGGAGCCAAAUGAUGUUCAAGAGUUUCAGCAGAUGUAAUUCAUUAGCACUCCACAGCCAAAAGCACAGGAAAUUAACUGAAGUACAGAGAGCAGGCCUUUAAUCCCGAAUUCCUUUUCCAUGACUGAGAAAAGAGGAAAGCGUCCAAGAAGAAGGAGGAAGUGGCUUGCCACAAGGAUCAAAGUUCACAUCUAUAAGGGUUGAUUGUUUAGACUUGGUAAUCAGAGAAGGAGACACCCAAGGUGACCUCUUAAUGACACACAAAUAUUUCAGGGAAAUAGAACAUUUAAGUCCAGAGCUUUAUUCUUGAUUAUUAUACAAUUUAUGAAGGGUAUAGAUCGGGUAAAUAAGACCCGGUUUUUUCCACUGACAACCAGAGGUCAUGGGUUAAGGGUGAAAGGUAAACAUGAGGGGAAACUUCCUCCCUCAGAGGGUGGUGAGAGUGUGGAAUGAGCUGCCAACGCAAGUGGUGCAGGCGAUUUUGACCUUAACGUUCAGUAGAAGUUUGGACGGGAGGGGUAUGGAGGACUAUGGUCUGGGUGCAGGUCGAUGGGACUGGGCAGUUUAAAAGGUCUGACAUGGACUGGACGGGCUAAAAGGCCUGUUUCUGUGCUGUUGUUUUCUAUGUCUCUCUUAAGUCUGAAAAGAAUGUCUGAUUGCUUAAUCGAAGGCAAACCCAUAGAAGGGGCCAGCCAGCUGGAGGAGAGGAUGUGCGAUGGGAUAAUCAGAAUGUAGUUAAUCUUCUUUAUUAGGUUAAUUUCAGAUAAAAGACCUCAGCCUGAAACGGUGACUGGUUAUUUGCUCCAUUGAUGCUGCCUGACCUGCUGAGUUCGUCCAAUAUUUUGUGUGUGUGUGUUCCUCUGAAUUUCCAGCAUCUGCAGAAUCUCAAGUGUUUGUUUGUAAAUAUGCAAGGGGCCAAAUGCUUUUCUUCAGACAGUUGCUGGAGCAUGCAGUUAGAGUGAAAGGGGUGAAGUUCAAAGGAGAUGUGCAGGACAAGCUAUUUCACACUGUCAGGAACGAGUACCAGUGGCUUUUGAGAGGCUUAUCGGACGAAACGAAUACAGGACCUGCAUUGCUCUGCCAAGUACUGUGGGCAUACCAUGUUGGCGCUGGAAUGUGUGCUGACACUUGCAGGCUUCCCCAAGCCCACGCUUGGGAGCGCUGGUUAUUAACACAA